UCCGCGCACACGUAAACUUCUCUCGACACACCGAGGUUCGAAACACACGUAUGAUGCCACGGAUGCGAGCGAACCUCACCGACACGAUGCUGGGUCAGCGUAGGUGUAGUGUUAAGGGUAGCUCGCGUCGGUCACGACGUACGGCACUGUGUGUCACGGACAGAAAGUGUGGCAGGGCGUGCAACGAGUACAGAAUCGAGCAUGGUCACCCGAGGGAGUUCAGUAAACGCGGCAGGAUUAUCCGUAGCGGCAGUAGCCCGGUGGUUGCAACGAGCUAGAACGAGGAUCGAAGAAAGAGAAAGAGAACACUCCGGGGGCACAGCUACUCCAGACGGACAAGCCGAUUCACGGACGUUCAAGAAAGGAGAGACGAGGGAACAAAAAUCCAACCUUCAGUGCGAAAACACGGAGCUGGAAGUUGCGGUGAAUAGCGGCUGGCGCGACGUUCGGAUUUCCUCGUAUGUUUGGUGACCGUAUUUUUUCCACGAUGACAGUACGGGCCGGCUAACAGAAUCCCCAACUUUGGUACCGCGCCAAAUUAUUAUCGUCCAGUGUGCUUUAUAUUCUGGCCGAUCGGGUGGUUCGACGCCCCGUCGGUGCCGCCGUAUAACCUGGCUUUCCUCCGCAAACCGAACAUCCGACAAAGGGUUAUGUAAACUUUCGAAUCGCUCGAAUUUCCCCAACACCUUGAAAAUUCUUCACAUCGUUUCAACACCACUCGCUCCGACGCGUCUCUAUCGCGUCGUACAUCGUACGGUAAUACUACUUACAACCUGAAAUAGCCUGAAAUAGAAUUAGUUAGGAUAAUUAAAACGUGUUGAGAAAGUUUCGAGCGGUAUGCAUCGAAUUUGACGAGGCGUUGUCCCCCGGGAUAGCUACGAAAUACGCGUUCGCGUGAUCGCGUCUGCAUAUGUCGUAUAAUCUAUUCUUAUCGCAGUUAACAUUACAGAAGCCUGCCAAGCCCCUACAAAAUGCAUCGUGGCCGUAUGUUUCUAAUUAUUUACUCAAGAUAAUAGCACGUAUCGAGCAAACGAUAGUAUUAAUCGACUAUAAAUCAAGCAGCUCGUCGCGGACGCGAUUAUUGAUUCGAUAAAUUUCUGGUCUUUCGUUCGUCGAGUAUGUUUCAUGGCAAAUUAAUUCCUGCUUAUCGGAGAACAACAAUUGCGUGCCAUAUUUCACGUAGUCUGAUAUUUUGCAGUGCCACUGACCGUGUAAUAAACGGCGCACGAUCGUUAUCUCGUAAUAUAGCUCGAGAUGCAAACCACUCGGGAAAGAAAGAUUUAACUUCGUUUCCGUGAUGGCCGACACGGAAUUACAUAAGCGUCCGGCUCGUUUCGAAAACGAAUUCUACAGGGGAAACGAACGCUCGAGGUAGUAAUUUUGUACGGCUAGAUCGCGAAACAGAUACCACUUUAAAUCGAAUAAUUAAUUGUGGUCGGUCAAAUUACAGAUAGGAACGUCGUAAAAUAAUGGUCGGUACGCAAUAGUACUUUGCCAGUCGAACAGACAAUUUAUGAACGAACUACGCGCAACAUUCGAAAAAGCAGUCAAGGAACGAUUCAAUCCCGUAAUGUAACGCGAACGCGUAAGAAUUUCCGGGAAUUUCGGAUUUCGAAAUGGGAAGCAUGUCAGUCGAUCUUAUUCGCGAUUCGGUUCGCGCACAGGGGAAGCUGUCCCGUUUCGUAAAUUGUAUCGUUCGAGCCAUUCGUUCGCGUUCCGCUCCUUUUACUUUUCGAAUUUACUUUAAGCAUGCAGAAUCGAGUAUCGUUUACGGACUCGUACAGUUGUCGAUUAAUUGCCGACCAACCGGCAAUCAUUUCGAGAUAAAGUAAACGGAAGUCAGCGACGUAUGGCGAAAAGCGUAUACUCGCGAAUAACUUUUCAAGGGGAUGCUUGCUUUACAAAAUCAACGAUUGUAUCGCUGACCUACACCGUGCUUAUUUCGUCGUUGUCCGCAUUAUUGUUAUUCGUAUUGCACAGGAACUUCGCUGCAUUAAUUGCAAUACGAUCGAUUCUAUAUGGUGCUUUCGGGUUGUUUAACUUCACUCUGUGUGCACAAACUUUCCUCUUAAAGAUAGCGGAUUUAUAAAGUUGACGCUUCACUGCUGAUCGCGGUAAAACUUUUGAUCGGAUCACGAGCAAAAUUAAUUUUUGAUUCUAAGUUAUCACGCGAUAUUGCGAAGACGACAGACAGCCAUAACUUUAAGCGAAACAACGUCGUACACUUUUCGUUUUCCCCUUUCGACUUCCUUUCCCUCUUCGACCCCUAUUCCGAGAAUGAAUUGCGCAAGCCCUUUCGCCCUUUUUAUCAUUCCUUCGCAGUCGCGCCUUUCCUGGCGACAAAAUUGGCUUUGUUAUGCGGCACGAGGUUUCAAUUCCCAAUACAGAACGGUCCAAUUUGUGUCUGUCGCUGGUUUCGUCUCCCUACUUCAACUUGGUCGAUGUUGUGUACGUCUCCUAAUGAGACACAGUGAACCUGCUGGAUCGCUCAAACUACUGUCAACCAUACCAGCGACUAGUUUGCCGGAUUAGAAAUUCCGCAAAUCUUCCACCGCAUGCGGCUGAAUACAAUGUCAAGCCGUAUGUUUGAGAGGCGCGUUCGUGUGUACACGAGCGGCACGAUGUAACGUGUACGAAUUCUCAUCCUUGUACCAGCAUACAUUUCUCCCUGUGCGAAUCUAUGUACACCAUUGUCUCGUCUAUAUUCGCCGAGGGAUUCGCGAUAUCGGAUCGGAGCUCGUCUAUGGGACCACUUUCGGUCUUCUGCCUUUAUUCGCGGUUUCACCGCUGAAAUAGUACGGCCAACUUGGGAAGCGCGUUGACUUCGUAACGCCGCAAUCGCGAAACGUUACAACACGCGAUACGACUGUCUCUCUGUAUAUUUCUAUUCCGACCAAUAAAUAGUAUCGCGGCUAGAAAUCUGGCAGAGGUUGUCGCCGUCGAUUAAUCGUCGUGUCUCUCGACGAAGGAUGACCGUAACUCGACGAUCGCCUAUUAACCGCGGCGAUCAAUCGAGUACCCGCGAGCAGGCACAGUUCAUUUGCGAGCAGAUACGAUCGAGCAUUCGUGCUAUUAUCAGCCGAGCCAUCAGGUACUUAACUACAGAAGCAUCUGUUGGUCGUGCGUUAGCAAGUUUCUAAUUUAUUUACUCCAAGAGAAACUUUGACCACAGCCGCAAACUCAAAGACUUGCCGCUUUACGGCACGUAAGUGUGAAGAUAAAGUUACGCUGAGAUGGGACUAUAAAACACACUGGGCUGCAUGGAUUUUCGCGCCACUUGACGCAUCUCUAGGAGGAGAAUUAAGCCGGUUUUGUUGCCGCAAUAAACGCGCCGCUCUCUAUUAAUAAUUCAUGCAACCAACGCGACGGUCGAAUCGUGGAGAGCCGCUUCGAUCUUUCGUACCAUCAGAUUCGAACCUGAUUUCGUGUUUGAAGAAAGUAAAACGAGAGAUUUAAUUCCUUUGCGCGAGCACUUCACCGAGAUUUUCGAUGCGAACAACAUUUAUUUCAAGAAAAGAACCCUUGAAUCUAGUAGCGAGCUAUCAAGCUUGAAUGCUUCUUUCUUAAAUUGUUGCUCGAGUGUCGCGUUUCUCAGGAUGCCUUGCAUCUUGUGGCGAAUAAAAUCGAUGACCGUACCGUAAACUCAAUUACAUCUUCUAAAGGGCUAUCGAAUUGUUAAUCGAUGCAAAUAUAAAACGCUGAGAUACGUCCGACCGUACAAAUAUAAAAAGUAAGGUGUCGAAAAACAUUG